rnacentral:RNase_P_RNA from 1 species
GGAGUCGGGGGGAAGGUCGCUCCGGAGUUACUUCGGAGAGGAAAGUCCGAACUCCCCAGGGCAGCACGCUGGGUAACUCCCAGUCCCGGCGACGGGAAGGAAAGUGCAACAGAGAGUAGACAGCCGGUGCAGGGCUUCGUCCGGUGCCGGCAACGGUGAAACGGUGGGGUAAGAGCCCACCAGCGCCGGCGGCGACGCCGGCGGCUCGGCAAACCCCGUGCGGAGCAAGACCAAAUAGGGGAGAUGAGGAGUGGCCCGCUCCGAUCUCCCGGGUAGGUCGCCAGAGGGAACAGGCAACUGUUCUCCCAGAUGAAUGACCUUCGCCCCAUUUCGUGGGGCACAGAAUUCGGCUUACAACCCGGCUCCAACG